ACUUUUAAAUUAAGUAAGAGUAUUUGGUGGAUGCCUUGGGUCUGAAAGUCGAUGAAGGACGCGAUUACCUGCGAUAAGCUUCGUGGAGUUGGAAAUAAACUAUGAUACGGAGAUUUCCGAAUGGGGUAACCUAACUGAGCAAACCUCAGUUGCAUUUUGAUGAAUCCAUAGUCAAAUUAGCGAGACACGUUGCGAAUUGAAACAUCUUAGUAGCAACAGGAAAAGAAAAUAAAUAAUGAUUUCGUCAGUAGUGGCGAGCGAAAGCGAAAGAGCCCAAACCUGUAAAAAGGGGUUGUAGGACAUCUUACAUUGAGUUACAAAAUUUUAUGAUAGUAGAAGAAGUUGGAAAGCUUCAACAUAGAAGGUGAUAUUCCUGUAUACGAAAUCAUAAAAUCUCAUAGAUGUAUCCUGAGUAGGGCGGGGCACGUGAAACCCUGUCUGAAUCUGCCGGGACCACCCGGUAAGGCUAAAUACUAAUCAGACACCGAUAGUGAACUAGUACCGUGAGGGAAAGGUGAAAAGAACCCCGAGAGGGGAGUGAAAUAGAUUCUGAAACCAUUUACUUACAAGUAGUCAGAGCACGUUAAAGUGUGAUGGCGUACAUCUUGCAGUAUGGGCCGGCGAGUUAUGUUAAUAUGCAAGGUUAAGCAGAAAAAAGCGGAGCCGUAGGGAAACCGAGUCUGAAUAGGGCGACUUUAGUAUAUUGGCAUAUACCCGAAACCAGGUGAUCUAUCCAUGAGCAGGUUGAAGCUUAGGUAAAACUAAGUGGAGGACCGAACCGUAGUACGCUAAAAAGUGCCCGGAUGACUUGUGGAUAGCGGUGAAAUUCCAAUCGAACCUGGAGAUAGCUGGUUCUCUUCGAAAUAGCUUUAGGGCUAGCGUAUAGUAUUGUUUAAUGGGGGUAGAGCACUGAAUGUGGAAUGGCGGCAUCUAGCUGUACUGACUAUAAUCAAACUCCGAAUACCAUUAAAAUUAAGCUAUGCAGUCGGAACGUGGGUGAUAACGUCCACGCUCGCGAGGGAAACAACCCAGAUCGUCAGCUAAGGUCCCAAAAUUGUGUUAAGUGAGAAAGGUUGUGAGAUUUCAUAAACAACUAGGAAGUUGGCUUAGAAGCAGCCACCUUUUAAAGAGUGCGUAAUUGCUCACUAGUCAAGAGAUCUUGCGCCAAUAAUGUAACGGGACUCAAACACAAUACCGAAGCUACGGGCACAUUAUGUGCGUUAGGAGGAGCGUUUUAAUUUCGUUGAAGUCAGACCGUGAGGACUGGUGGAGAGAUUAAAAGUGAGAAUGCCGGCAUGAGUAACGAUUCGAAGUGAGAAUCUUCGACGCCUAUUGGGAAAGGUUUCCUGGGCAAGGUUCGUCCACCCAGGAUUAGUCAGGGCCUAAGAUGAGGCAGAAAUGCAUAGUCGAUGGACAACAGGUUAAUAUUCCUGUACUUGGUAAAAGAAUGAUGGAGUGACGAAAAAGGAUAGUUCUACCACUUACUGGAUUGUGGGGUAAGCAACAAGAGAGUUAUAUAGGCAAAUCCGUAUAGCAUAAUCUUGAGUUGUGAUGCAUAGUGAAGACUUCGGUCGAGUAACGAAUUGAAUGAUUUCAUGUUUCCAAGAAAAGCUUCUAGUGUUAAUUUUUUAUCAACCUGUACCGAGAACGAACACACGUUCCCAAGAUGAGUAUUCUAAGGCGAGCGAGAAAACCAAUGUUAAGGAACUCUGCAAAAUAACCCCGUAAGUUCGCGAGAAGGGGCGCCUAUUUUUAAUAGGCCACAGAAAAUAGGGGGGGCAACUGUUUAUCAAAAACACAGCUCUCUGCUAAGUUGUAAAACGACGUAUAGAGGGUGAAGCCUGCCCAGUGCCCGAAGGUUAAACGGAGAUGUUAGCUUACGCAAAGCAUUAAAGUGAAGCCCGGGUGAACGGCGGCCGUAACAAUAACGGUCCUAAGGUAGCGAAAUUCCUUGUCAACUAAUUAUUGACCUGCACGAAAGGCGCAAUGAUCUCCCUACUGUCUCAACAUUGGACUCGGUGAAAUUAUGGUACCAGUGAAAACGCUGGUUACCCGCAUCAAGACGAAAAGACCCCGUGGAGCUUUACUAUAACUUCGUAUUGAAAAUUGGUUUAGCAUGUGUAGGAUAGGUGGGAGACUUUGAAGCUGGGACGCUAGUUCUAGUGGAGUCAACCUUGAAAUACCACCCUUGCUAAAUUGAUUUUCUAACCCGUUCCCCUUAUCUGGGAAGGAGACAGUGCGUGGUGGGUAGUUUGACUGGGGCGGUCGCCUCCUAAAGAGUAACGGAGGCGUUCAAAGCUACACUCAAUAUGGUCAGAAACCAUAUGCAGAGCACAAAGGUAAAAGUGUGGUUGACUGCAAGACUUACAAGUCGAGCAGGUGCGAAAGCAGGACUUAGUGAUCCGGCGGUACAUUGUGGAAUGGCCGUCGCUCAACGGAUAAAAGCUACCCCGGGGAUAACAGGCUAAUCUUCCCCAAGAGAUCACAUCGACGGGA
rnacentral:rRNA from 1 species